UAAACCUGGUUGAUCCUGCCAGUAGUCAUAUGCUUGUCUCAAAGAUUAAGCCAUGCAUGUCUAAGUAUAAAUGACUUUAUACAGUGAAACUGCGAAUGGCUCAUUAAAUCAGUUAUAGUUUAUUUGAUAAUACCUUACUACUUGGAUAACCGUGGUAAUUCUAGAGCUAAUACAUGCUACAUAACCCGACUUCU
rnacentral:rRNA from 1 species